UACGGUAAACGUUGACUUCAGGUUUGACACAGAGGAUCGACUCGUACUCGGACUGACCCUCGGUCGCCAUCUUGACUUGUACACAGUCGGUGCACGCCGGUGGUGGUGGUGACGAAGUAAAGGCGAGAAACGAAGAUCCUGAGCCGAAGGUUUGGCGUCCUGUUGAGGAACUGGCUCAGCCUGAAGGAGCAGUCGGCACAGGGAGACCAGGAGCAGAACCAGGUGACCGAGUAGCUGAGCCUCUUUUGACCAGUACUUCCAUAGCCCCACAAACCAGGGCACAGGGCUCCCAGGUCCUUCUCAUGUGCUCUCCUAUCUUGACCCACAUUACUUACCUCUACAUGACAGCCACUGCGAUUGCGGAGGUGUCCAAAGUCAAACGUUAAGGUGUCUGGUCCCACUCGCCUCUUUACUACAAAGCAAAGCUCUGGCCCAGUCUGCUCACUCAGUGGCACUGCAUGCAGGCAUCCUGCUUUCCCAUGACUCCCCUCACCCUCUCAUGCACUCUGCGGUUUGGGGAAUUCACCGUUUCCCAGGGUGGCUGUUUUUGGAGCUCAUCUGUGUGUAUGUGCGCAUGUGUGUGUUAGCCAUCUGUAUGAGCAUGUCAUUAACACAGUCUAUAUGUUAUACAUCAUCUGGAACAAAUUUAUCUAAUAUAUCCUAUGAUUGUGUGGUGCCCCAGAAUUUAGAGUGAUUCAUGUGUAUGUGUGUCUGCAUGCUCUGAGCAACCUCACAUCAUAUUGCAUUACUCUGACAGUGCACUAAGGCUAAUGUCUCUGCACAUUUGAUCUUGUGUGCAUGUGUCUUUUCCCAACUUCAAGAGGCUGAUCAAAUGCCAAACUAUAUGUAACCACUUCCCACCCAGCUCUCUGGGUUUAACCACAGUUGACCAAGGUCAUCUCACAGUCACACAUGAACGCUCACAUGCACUACCACCUCUCUUGUGCUCCGUCUGUGUUUGUGUGUGUGUGUGUGUGUGGUGGAGUAGUACAGUAUGGCCAGACAUGGCUGUGCAUUUAACCCGUAGUCAGGGGCAGAAACCGGGUGUAGGAAAUGCCAAGUCAUAUUUUCCGAAACCCACCCGCCCACACCCUGCACACGCGCACACAAACACUCACACACAGCCAUACCGUGCAGACGCACAAGACCACAGUCACAAACAGACUUUCUUUCCAGUGUGUGAACUCACAUCUGUUUCCUGACAACAAUAAUAGCUACAGAUCGGGCGGGUAGAGGCCCAGCUAACAGGUGUCUGCUCUUUGACAGUCAUGAAGAAACAACCUGAUGAUGACCAAAAAGUGUCACUAGUAAAAAAAAAAUAUAUAGCUUUCACAUGGUGAAUCUGGCCUGACCACACACACUUACUCGUGCAACUAACAACACUGUUAUGUUACUGGGUGUCUCAGGCUUUUCAUCA